CAACCUCAGAGUUUCAUCAGUUUCUGAACCCAAAAUCUACUUGGAUCUCUCUCUCACUCUCUCUCUCAAUCUCUCUCUCUCUCUCUCUCUCUCUCUCUCUCUCUCUCUCUCUCUCUCUCUCUCUUCUGUGUCUGUCUGCGUGCAUGCAAACCCCAAAAGAGCUCCUCCAAUGAAGCAGACCAGAGCACGCCAACCUACCACCCAUGCCGUCAAUCCCCACUCCUUUCUAUGACGAAACGACCCUUCUCCUCCCUUACCACCGCCACCUUCAUCAUCAUCACCGCCACCAUCCUCUUCGCCGUUAUACCACCACAAGCUCAUGCCUUCGGUUCCGGCUCCACCCUUGCCGUUAUCUCCGCCUCCGGCACCGUCUGCGGUGUCGUGUCAGACCAACCGCGGCAGCGCAUCGUCUGCUACCGCCGCGGACAAACCGUCGCAGUCGAGCCCAACAUCUCCUUCUCCGCCAUCUCCGGCGGACGGACCUCUCUAUGCGGCCUCCGCUCUGGCGGAUACAGCAUCCUCUGCUGGGACGACAUCGCCUCCCAAAACUCCACCUUCCCAUCCAAACGUCUUUACUUCAACAAAACCGUUACGUUAGAAAAUCUCUCAGUCGGCGACGACCAUAUCUGCGCCAGAACCGUCGUCACAGGCACCAUAAAAUGCUGGCGGGUCGACGACGUGUCCGAAUUACCAUCUGGGUCGGACCAAUUCUCCUCGAUUUCAUCGGGGUCGGGUUUCUCUUGCGGAAUUUCCAAAGCCACCCUCCGGGUUCGAUGCUGGGGCAGAGCAACUUCAAUGGCGGAAGAAAAUACAAAACCGGGUUCGGAAACAUGACAAUGGCGACCAUCACAGCCGGCGGCUCGCACGUGUGCGGGAUCAACACCACAGGACUUAUAGUCUGCCGGGGAAGCAAUGGCGCCGGCCAAUGGAACGUCCCUCCUGGCUCGCCUUUCGAGUUCUCUGCUCUGUCCCUCGGAGUAAACCACAGCUGCGCAAUCAGAACUUCAAAUAAAACGGUCAUUUGUUGGGGAGGAGGAGGUCAAUUUGCAUUUAACCAAACAAACGGGGUGUCUUUUGAAGUAAUUGCUUCUGGGUCGGAUUUCGUUUGUGGAUUAACCACCAGGAAUUUUUCGAUUGUUUGUUGGGGUACGGGCUGGCCCAAUCUCUCCGGUUUGAAAUCAGGGGAGGAGCUCGAAUUGCCCGAAAUUCUUCCCGGUUCUUGUGUCAAUUCCUCCUGCGGUGAAUGUGGAAUUUACCCUCAGUCCCAAAGGCUCUGUUUUGGUGCAGACAACAUUUGCAAGCCCUGUUUGCCUCCAAUUUCAUUGCCACCACCAGCAUUUCCACCGCCGCCGCCGUCGCCGCAGCCGCCACCGCCCCUGCCGUCAAGGCUGCCGCCCGCGGCAUUGACGACGGGUUUAUUGAUGUUUGCCAUUGUCGGUUCUGUCGGAGCUUUUGCAGGUAUGUACUGUUAUUUAUUGUUUGUGGACCGGCGGUUGUUUUGGGGACAAAAAGAUUCACAAUUCAGUUCAGCCGACAAUUACUAGAGAUGCUAGCUCAAACAAUGGCAAUGGGAUAACGUCAAACAAUAGUCCCCCGUCGAGAUCCUCCACCAUCCGCCGCCAGGGCUCGAGGAUCAUGAGGCGGCAGAGGAGCGGAACAUCCUCGAAGCAUGCAGACAGGGCGGAGGAGUUUUCCCUGUCCGAGCUCGCGGCCGCCACCAAUGACUUCUCAAUGGAGAACAAGAUUGGCGCCGGAAGCUUCGGAGUUGUAUAUAGAGGCAAACUGCCUGACGGCCGGGAAGUUGCGAUCAAGAGAGGCGAAACCGCCCCGAAGAUGAAGAAGUAUCAGGAGAAGGAGAGCGCAUUCGAUUCGGAACUUGCGUUCUUGUCGAGAGUUCAUCACAAACAUCUCGUGAGGCUUGUCGGAUAUUGCCAAGAGAGGGACGAGAGGCUUUUGGUGUACGAGCACGUGAAAAACGGUGCGCUUUAUGAUCACUUGCAUGACAAGAACAAUGUGGAGAGAAGCAGUAGUUUGUUAAAUUCGUGGAAAAUGAGGAUCAAGGUUGCAUUGGAUGCCUCCAGAGGCAUUGAGUAUCUGCACAAUUACGCCGUGCCGCCUAUCAUUCAUCGAGAUAUAAAGUCAUCGAACAUCUUGCUCGACGCGAAUUGGACCGCGAGGGUGUCUGAUUUUGGGUUGUCGUUGAUGGGGCCGGAGUCAGAGGUGGAUUUUAGGCCAACGAAGGCGGCAGGGACGGUUGGCUACAUUGAUCCGGAGUACUACGGACUCAACUUGUUGACCGCGAAGAGCGAUGUCUAUGGACUCGGCGUGGUGCUACUGGAGCUUCUGACGGGGAAGAGGGCAAUAUUUAAGGAUGGUGAGGAUGGGGGGACGCCCAUAAGCGUGGUGGAUUUCGCAGUGCCGGCGAUUAUGAAAGGGGAGUUGGUGAGGGUUUUGGACAAGAGGGUUGGGCCUCCGGAAGUGAAUGAAUCGGAGGCGGUUGAGCUGGUGGCGUAUACAGCAAUGCAUUGUGUGAGUUUGGAAGGGAAAGAUAGGCCGACGAUGGCGGACAUUGUGGCGAACUUGGAGAGGGCGUAUGCCCUGUGCGAUGAAAGCCCUGGCAGCAUCUCAAGUGGUGCAAUCUCCAUUGUCUCAGCAGAGUAAGAGUGAGUAAAAUGUGCUUCCUUCCCGUUAAAGAAAGAAUAGAAAAGAAAAGUUGAAUUAUUUCUUCAAUUUUUGUCAAAUUUUUGGGGAUAAAUUGGAUGGAUUUAAAUAAAAGAUUUACCAUUGGGGGUGUAAAA